rnacentral:rRNA from 1 species
UACAGAGGGGGCAAGCGUUAUUCGGAAUUAUUAGGCGUAAAGGGCGCGUAGGCGGCCUGGCAAGUGGAAGGUGAAAUCCCUCGGCUUAACCGAGGAACUGCCCUCCAAACUGCUUGGCUUGAGUCCGGGAGAGGUGAGUGGAAUUCCCAGUGUAGCGGUGAAAUGCGUAGAUAUUGGGAGGAACACCAGUGGCGAAGGCGGCUCACUGGACCGGAACUGACGCUGAGGCGCGAAAGCGUGGGGAGCAAACGGG